rnacentral:piRNA from 1 species
GUAAGAGCCACAGUCCUUGUUCUGUAAGG